rnacentral:rRNA from 1 species
GACGAACGCUGGCGGCGUGCUUAACACAUGCAAGUCGAACGGAAAGGCCCUGCUUUUGUGGGGUGCUCGAGUGGCGAACGGGUGAGUAACACGUGAGUAACCUGCCCUUGACUUUGGGAUAACUUCAGGAAACUGGGGCUAAUACCGGAUAGGAGCUCCUGCUGCAUGGUUGGGGUUGGAAAGUUUCGGCGGUUGGGGAUGGACUCGCGGCUUAUCAGCUUGUUGGUGGGGUAGUGGCUUACCAAGGCUUUGACGGGUAGCCGGCCUGGGAGGGUGGCCGGCGACAUUGGGACUGAGGUAGGGACCAGAAGCGUACGGGAGGCAGUGGUGGGGAAUCUUACACAGUGGGCGGAAGUCUGAUGCAGCGACGCCGCGUGCGGGAUGACGGCCUUCGGGUUGUAAACCGCUUUCGCAUGUGACGAAGCGUGAGUGACGGUAAUGGGUAAAGAAGCACCGGCUAACUACGUG